AAAUGAAUAGACGGGGACCCGCACAAGCGGUGGAUGAUGUGGAUUAAUUCGAUGCAACGCGAAAAACCUUACCUACCCUUGACAUGUCCAGGAGCCUGAAGAGAUUUGGGUGUGCCCGAAAGGGAACUGGAACACAGGUGCUGCAUGGCUGUCGUCAGCUCGUGUCGUGAGAUGUUGGGUUAAGUCCCGCAACGAGCGCAACCCUUGUCGUUAAUUGCCAUCAUUUAGUUGGGCACUUUAACGAGACUGCCGGUGACAAACCGGAGGAAGGUGGGGAUGACGUCAAGUCCUCAUGGCCCUUAUGGGUAGGGCUUCACACGUCAUACAAUGGUCGGUACAAAGGGUUGCCAAGCCGCGAGGUGGAGCCAAUCCCAGAAAGCCGAUCGUAGUCCGGAUCGCAGGCUGCAACUCGCCUGCGUGAAGUCGGAAUCGCUAGUAAUCGUGGAUCAGCAUGUCACGGUGAAUACGUUCCCGGGUCUUGUACACACCGCCCGU
rnacentral:rRNA from 1 species